GUGAAGAAAGUGGUCAGAAAAUGUCUGGAGAAAGCUGCCUUGAUCAAUUACACUAGACUCACAGAAUAUGCCAAAAUUGAAGAGACCAUGAACCAGGCAACUCCUGCCAGGAAGCUGGAAGAGGUUCUUCAUCUCGCAGAGCUCUGCAUAGAAGUCCUACAGCAAAACGAGGAGCAUCAUGCUGAGGUGAUACAGGGUCUCCCAAUGAAUCCAGACCUCACAUAGUCAGGCUAGGCUGGAUGCCCAACAAAGUUCAGGGAGCUACUGCUUCCCAAUUGCAG
rnacentral:lncRNA from 1 species